GAUGAACGCUGGCGGCGUGCCUAAUACAUGCAAGUCGAGCGAACAGACGAGGAGCUUGCUCCUUUGACGUUAGCGGCGGACGGGUGAGUAACACGUGGGUAACCUACCUAUAAGACUGGGAUAACUUCGGGAAACCGGAGCUAAUACCGGAUAAUAUUUUGAACCGCAUGGUUCGAUAGUGAAAGAUGGCUUUGCUAUCACUUAUAGAUGGACCUGCGCUGUAUUAGCUAGUUGGUAAGGUAACGGCUUACCAAGGCAACGAUACGUAGCCGACCUGAGAGGGUGAUCGGCCACACUGGAACUGAGACACGGUCCAGACUCCUACGGGAGGCAGCAGUAGGGAAUCUUCCGCAAUGGGCGAAAGCCUGACGGAGCAACGCCGCGUGAGUGAUGAAGGUCUUCGGAUCGUAAAACUCUGUUAUUAGGGAAGAAUAAACGUGUAAGUAACUGUGCACGUCUUGACGGUACCUAAUCAGAAAGCCACGGCUAACUACGUG
rnacentral:rRNA from 1 species